rnacentral:lncRNA from 13 species
CAAUCAGAAGGACCGCCUCCUGCCGGCCCAGAUCAGAUCCAGCUGGACCUGGACUCCCUGUCUGCUCAGACCCAGUCCAACCAGCAGGCCAUUGUCUUAGCCCUGCAGAAACUGGCUGAGAAGCAGGCUGCCUACCAGAUCCAUCAGUCUACUAACACAAUAUGAGUCUCCUGUCACCCUACCCAACCCCUCUACCCUCUUACCUGCUCAAUAGCUAGUUAGUGUCACCUAUAGGGUGUUCAUAUCAGGAUACAAAACUACUAUAAAUCUAUCAUACACUGUAAAGGGAUUUGUGCUUUUCUCUAGAUGAGUAAAGGGAAUCCACACAUCCUGCACAGCGGACUUACUGAGGGUAUUAAUAUUCCCCUGUGAACCUCUCUGUGACCCCAUGUACCACCCAGGACAGCAGCAGCAGGCACGGGUCAAGUGCAAUGCUAGGAAUGUACAUAUUAAGCUGACCAAUCUGAACCUGAUUAACAGGGUGCUGAGCAGAGGGGUUAUCACCCUGACCCGCGCGGUGCAACAUGGAGCUGUGACCCAGCGGCCUGUGAGGGUGGUCCACUCUGGCACAGGCCCCAUCAGCAGCACUACUAGCCUCAGGCAGUUGCGAGAUGAAGGGGGUCUUUGGGAUGGGGAAACCAAGAGACCCUACAACCUGGUUGAGAGGUGUCAGCCCCCAGCAGCAUCCCACUCCAGGCAGAUACCAGCUCCAGUUUCCCAUCCUGCAGCAGCAGAAGUUCCAGUCCCUCUGUUGGUCCAGAGCCACACCCUCCACCAGACCAUGUUGGCUGCUCAGGCCAUGAUGCCACCCUAUCAUGUGACGGCCCCUCGGCCCCAGCCAUCCAGAGCCUCAACAAGGCUGAGAUGUGAGAAGAGAACAGCCCAUUCACUGGACCCACCACCAAGCUGCCAGCCAGUCAGAGCAGAACAUCAUGAGGAAAUGCCAACUCAGUUCAGCCACUGAUUGGACAGACUUGUCAGCACUUGUUUCUGUCUCAUUAAAUGUUAACUGAUGAGAGAGAGAAGACCAAAAGAAUGCGAAUGGGACCACACACUAGUUUCGCAACAAUGACUGCCUCUGUGAGAUGUCCUAAGAGGACACCAAAGCAUCAACGCUUGUCUCUAUGGCUAUGGACAAUGUCAAUCAAAUUCCAAACUUCACCCAUAUACUAACCAAAUUGCUAGCUGUGACAUAUAGUAGGGGAGGACCUUCAAGUGUCUAUUGGCUUGUCAUGGUUACCAACUUAGACUGUACAGUAUGGUCUCAGACUGGGUAUGACUUCAGUUCCAAAUUUGAAAGGUACGAUUUGUGCCACAAAUAAAUGUGUGUUUGUUAUUUUGUUUAAGGGUUGACGAGUUUUGCCGCUGUACCUACGGAAGCCCAGGCUGUCGUAUGGCAUUCUUAAUAGGGUGCCAAUCACUGCAGCAUCAUUAAUGUCAGACUGGUUGCUGCUUUCACUGCCUAUUAGAGUCAGCUGUAGGAAAGACUUGACACUAUAAACACAUCAUGCUGCCAAAACUCUGUUUGUAAAUGAACACUAAUCCCCCCCUCAGUAAAACGUCCAGAAAACAAAAAGAAACACUCCCUUUCUCCAUAUACAAAGAAACACAACCACAGGCAACCAUGUUCCUGUAAUUCAUUGUCUAUCUGGAGAAAUCCACUCAAGCCACUCUCAAGGAACAAGCAUCUUACAAGGCAUUACAGUUAUUUACUGAACUUCCAACUGUGGGUGCAUACUCCAUGAUGAGAUACAUGUUCAGCAUUUGAGCCCUUCCGUACUGUGGCGCUGGCCGAUGUACACUUUAUGACGGCGAAGUGAGACUGUUGACAAAGAAAGUGAUAUGUGAAGAAGGUCAAGCUUUCUCCAAAUAUUAAAGGGUUUCUUCCCGUAUAGUUAUGCCACACUUUAAAUGGGCCAGUCUUAUUUGUGGUUGCGUAAUGGUAUGAAGGAACAACUCAUUACCUUGUUAAUGCUGCUUUGGCAAGCCAAUGUUAUGGGGUGAGAGGUUAAUACCAGCUAAGGUUAUUUAUUGUUCCCCCAAAAAUGCUUAACAGAUUUAAUGUAUAGAGUUACAGGCUUGUUAGCCCCUGCUUUACACCAUUCUUCCACCCAUAUUGAUUUAGUCUGAGAAGCUGUACACACAUUCUCCCUGUGUAGUCUGCUUCUGUGAGAGCCAGUGUUGUGAGAUGCAGUGCCAUGUACAGAUAGGUAGUACUUGCUGGAUAGAAGUUCCAUUGCUCCCUGGUUUCAUGAAACAUACAGUAUCAGCCACAAUGGGACCUCAAAUCAAAUCAAAUGUAAUUGUCACAUGCGCCAAAUACAACAGGUUUCACCUUACAGUGAAAUGUGUUUUUACAAGCCCUUAACCAACAAUGCAGUUUCAAUAAAAAUACUUUAAAGGUAAAAAAUAAAAAGUAAAUGUACAGUCAGUGUGCGAGGGCACCGGUUAGUCGAGGUAAUAUGUACGUGUAGGUAGAGUUAUUAAAUUGACUAUGCAUAGAUAAUAACAGAGAGUAGCAGCAGUGUAAAAGAAAGGGGGAGCAGAGCAAAUAGUCUGGGUAGCCAUUUCAUUAGAUGUUCAGAAGUCAAAUGACUUGGGGGUAGAAGCUGUUUAGAAGCCUCUUGGAACUAGACUUAGCGCUCCGGUACCACUUGCCGUGUGGUAGCAAGAGAGAACAGUCUAUGACUAGGGUGGCUGGGGUCUUUGACCAUUUUUAGGGCCUUCCUCUGACACCACCUGGUAUAGAGGUCAUGGAUGGCAGGAAGCUUGGCCCCAGUGAUGUACUGGGCCAUACGCAUUACCCUCUGUAGUGCCUUAGCGGUCGGAGGCCGAGCAGUUGCCAUACCAUGCAAUGAUACAACCAGUCAGGAUGCUCUUGAUGGUGCAGCAGUAGAACCUUUUGAGGAUCUGAGGACCCAUGCCAAAUCUUUUCAGUCUCCUGAGGGGGAAUAGGUUUUGUUGUGCCCUCUUCACAACUGUCUUGGUGUGCUUGGACCAUGUUAGUUUGUUGGUGAUGUGGACACCAAGGAAGUUGAAGCUCUCAACCUACUCCCACCACAGCCCCAUCGAUGAGAAUGGAGUGGUGCUCGGUCCUCUUUUUCAUGUAGUCCACAAUCAUCUCCUGUCUUCAUAACUGUUCUAUUUAA